rnacentral:rRNA from 1 species
UAGGGAAUAUUGGACAAUGGGGGCAACCCUGAUCCAGCCAUGCCGCGUGAGUGAAGAAGGCCCUCGGGUUGUAAAGCUCUUUUGUCCGGAAAGAAAAGCUUCGGGUUAAUACCCCGGGGUUCUGACGGUACCGGAAGAAUAAGCACCGGCUAACUUCGUGCCAGCAGCCGCGGUAAUACGAAGGGUGCAAGCGUUACUCGGAAUUACUGGGCGUAAAGCGUGCGUAGGUGGUUGUUUAAGUCUGAUGUGAAAGCCCUGGGCUCAACCCGGGAAUGGCAUUGGAAACUGGGCAGCUAGAGUGCGGUAGAGGGUAGUGGAAUUCCCGGUGUAGCAGUGAAAUGCGUAGAGAUCGGGAGGAACAUCUGUGGCGAAGGCGACUGCCUGGACCAGCACUGACACUGAGGCACGAAAGCGUGGGGAGCAAACA